rnacentral:rRNA from 1 species
GGAGGAUGCAAGUGUUAUCCGGAAUCACUGGGCGUAAAGCGUCUGUAGGUGGUUUAAUAAGUCAACUGUUAAAUCUUGAGGCUCAACCUCAAAAUCGCAGUCGAAACUAUUAGGCUAGAGUAUAGUAGGGGUAAAGGGAAUUUCCAGUGGAGCGGUGAAAUGCGUAGAGAUUGGAAAGAACACCGAUGGCGAAGGCACUUUACUGGGCUAUUACUAACACUCAGAGACGAAAGCUAGGGUAGCAAAUGGG